AGUUUGAUCCUGGCUCAGGAUGAACGCUAGCUACAGGCUUAACACAUGCAAGUCGAGGGGCAGCAUGAACUUAGCUUGCUAAGUUUGAUGGCGACCGGCGCACGGGUGAGUAACACGUAUCCAACCUGCCGAUAACUCCGGAAUAGCCUUUCGAAAGAAAGAUUAAUACCGGAUGGCAUACGAAUAUCGCAUGAUAUUUUUAUUAAAGAAUUUCGGUUAUCGAUGGGGAUGCGUUCCAUUAGUUUGUUGGCGGGGUAACGGCCCACCAAGACUACGAUGGAUAGGGGUUCUGAGAGGAAGGUCCCCCACAUUGGAACUGAGACACGGUCCAAACUCCUACGGGAGGCAGCAGUGAGGAAUAUUGGUCAAUGGGCGAGAGCCUGAACCAGCCAAGUAGCGUGAAGGAUGAAGGCUCUAUGGGUCGUAAACUUCUUUUAUAUGGGAAUAAAGUAUUCCACGUGUGGAAUUUUGUAUGUACCAUAUGAAUAAGGAUCGGCUAACUCCGUGCCAGCAGCCGCGAUAAUACGGAGGAUCCGAGCGUUAUCCGGAUUUAUUGGGUUUAAAGGGAGCGUAGGUGGAUUGUUAAGUCAGUUGUGAAAGUUUGCGGCUCAACCGUAAAAUUGCAGUUGAAACUGGCAGUCUUGAGUACAGUAGAGGUGGGCGGAAUUCGUGGUGUAGCGGUGAAAUGCUUAGAUAUCACGAAGAACUCCGAUUGCGAAGGCAGCUCACUAGACUGUCACUGACACUGAUGCUCGAAAGUGUGGGUAUCAAACAGGAUUAGAUACCCUGGUAGUCCACACAGUAAACGAUGAAUACUCGCUGUUUGCGAUAUACAGUAAGCGGCCAAGCGAAAGCAUUAAGUAUUCCACCUGGGGAGUACGCCGGCAACGGUGAAACUCAAAGGAAUUGACGGGGGCCCGCACAAGCGGAGGAACAUGUGGUUUAAUUCGAUGAUACGCGAGGAACCUUACCCGGGCUUAAAUUGCAACAGAAUAUAUUGGAAACAGUAUAGCCGUAAGGCUGUUGUGAAGGUGCUGCAUGGUUGUCGUCAGCUCGUGCCGCGAGGUGUCGGCUUAAGUGCCAUAACGAGCGCAACCCUUAUCUUUAGUUACUAACAGGUCAUGCUGAGGACUCUAGAGAGACUGCCGUCGUAAGAUGUGAGGAAGGUGG
rnacentral:rRNA from 1 species